GACGAACGCUGGCGGCGUGCUUAACACAUGCAAGUCGAGCGGUAAGGCCCUUUCGGGGGUACACGAGCGGCGAACGGGUGAGUAACACGUGGGUGACCUGCCCUCAGCUCUGGGAUAAGCCUGGGAAACCGGGUCUAAUACUGGAUAUGACUCCAUGACGCAUGUUGUGGGGUGGAAAGCCUUGUGCGGCUGAGGAUGGGCCCGCGGCCUAUCAGCUUGUUGGUGGGGUGANGGCCUACCAAGGCGACGACGGGUAGCCGGCCUGAGAGGGCGACCGGCCACACUGGGACUGAGACACGGCCCAAACUCCUACGGGAGGCAGCAGUGGGAAUCUUGCGCAAUGGGCGAAAGCCUAACGCAGCGACGCCGCGUGAGGGAUGACCGGCCU
rnacentral:rRNA from 1 species